ACCAGGCAUGGUGGCGGGCACCUGUAAUCCUAGCUAUUUGAGAGGCUGAGGCAGGAGAAUUGCUUGAACCCGGGAGGCAGAGGCUACAGUGAGCUGAGAUUGUGCCACUGCAUUCCAGCUUGGGCGACAGAGGGAGACUCCGUCUCAAAACAAACAAACAAACAAACAAAAAGCAUUUCAGUUGGAGUUUCGCUCUUGUUGCCCAGGCUGGAGUGUGGUGGCACAAUCUCAGCUCACUGUAGCCUCUGCCUCCCGGGUUCAAGCAAUUCUCCUGCCUCAG
rnacentral:SRP_RNA from 1 species